AGAGAGAGACAUGCGCGCAUAUCAAUAAGCGGAGGAAAAGAAACUAACUAGGAUUCCCUCAGUAACGGCGAGUGAAGCGGGAAGAGCUCAAAUUUGAAAUCUUCAAGGUUUUACCUUGACGAAUUGUAGUUUAAAGAAGUGUUUUCUGUUGAAGUUUUGGUAAAAGUUCUUUGGAAUAGGACAUCAUAGAGGGUGAGGAUCCCGUAUUUGACCAUUAUUUCCAGCUGUGUGAUACACUUUCAAAGAGUCGGAUUGUUUGGGAAUGCAGUCCAAAAUGGGUGGUAAAUUUCAUCUAAAGCUAAAUACUGGCGAGAGACCGAUAGCGAACAAGUACCGUGAGGGAAAGAUGAAAAGAACUUUGAAAAGAGAGUUAAACAGUACGUGAAAUUGUCAAAAGGGAAGCGUUUGACACCAGUGUUGUUUUCUCGAAAAUCAAUUAAAAAAGGCAGGAUUUUGUGUUGUAUUGACUUUAUCAGCUUUCUGCACUCUUUUCUUGUCUUUUUUAAAUGCACUUUUCGUUUGACAAGUCAACAUCAAUUUCUUUUGUUGUAAAAGGGUCAUUGGAAGGUGGCUUUCUUUUCGGAGAAAGUGUUUAUAGCCUUUGGCCUCUGCAAUCGGAGAGAUUGAGGUCUGCAGCGUAGAUCCUUCGGGGUUAGAUACAUUUGUGCUAAGUUAUAGCCUUUCAUAGACAACUUGUUGACUAUGAUCAGUCAUGUAGCUUACUCGCUUAUGCUAUUUUACCUACGCUUAGGAUGUUGAUGUGAUACUGCGAGCA
rnacentral:rRNA from 1 species